UACGAAGGGGGCUAGCGUUGUUCGGAAUUACUGGGCGUAAAGCGCACGUAGGCGGAUUGUUAAGUCAGAGGUGAAAUCCCGGAGCCCAACUUCGGAACUGCCUUUGAUACUGGCAAUCUAGAGUCCGGAAGAGGUUAGUGGAAUUCCCAGUGUAGAGGUGAAAUUCGUAGAUAUUGGGAAGAACACCAGUGGCGAAGGCGGCUAACUGGUCCGGUACUGACGCUGAGGUGCGAAAGCGUGGGGAGCAAACAGG
rnacentral:rRNA from 1 species